AAGUAAGCCUGCAUGGAAUGGAGCCAGCCUUGCUCAAGGGCAACUGAGACCCAGACAGCAGAGAGCAGCGGAGGGAGAGGCGGUGAAAUCAGUCCAGAGCUGGAUGAGGACUGGCGUCUGGUACGCAGCCUCUUAGGAGAAACCCGGAGAUUUUGAGUGAUUCGACUGAAAGAUCUACUUCCAAAGAGGCAUCCAUCACCUCUUCUGGCCUCUUUUGACACCAGAUCCUUUGGCUAGGUCAACAAAUACCCACAUUGGACCAGUUGUCGCCGACCCUAAGCUUCAGAGUUGUUGGCCAAAGACUGAAUGAAGGAGUUUUGCAGAACGUUGUUAACUCUGAGAAAUCAGAGCGUCAGGGUGGGCCGCUCACCGAAGGUGUUGUUCUAACAUGCCGGGAGACAUACAUGCAGGCACUUCUGAGUGCCUGGGUCACUCACCCCUCCACCCCCAGCCAGAGACUCAUUGCAAUGGAAAGAGUCAGGUCCAGCCAAGAUU